GGGUCUGUAGCUCAAUAGGUAGAGCCGGCGGCUCAUAACCGCCUGGUUUUCGGUUCGAGACCGGACAGACCCACCA
rnacentral:tRNA from 1 species